UCUGAUCCUCUUGCUGCUCAACCCAGCC
rnacentral:piRNA from 1 species